UUAUAAGAGACAGCAGUAGCCACGGGAAUACGGAGGGAGCUAGCGUUGUUCGGAAUUACUGGGCGUAAAGCGCGCGUAGGCGGUUACUCAAGUCAGAGGUGAAAGCCCGGGGCUCAACCCCGGAACUGCCUUUGAAACUAGGUGACUAGAAUCUUGGAGAGGUCAGUGGAAUUCCGAGUGUAGAGGUGAAAUUCGUAGAUAUUCGGAAGAACACCAGUGGCGAAGGCGACUGACUGGACAAGUAUUGACGCUGAGGUGCGAAAGCGUGGGGAGCAAACAGGAUUAGAUACCCCGGUAGUCCCUGUCUCUUAUAC
rnacentral:rRNA from 1 species